UACGUAGGGGGCUAGCGUUGUCCGGAAUCAUUGGGCGUAAAGCGCGUGUAGGCGGUCCGGUAAGUCCGCUGUGAAAGUCGGGGGCUCAACCCUCGGAUGCCGGUGGAUACUGUCGGGCUUGAGUACGGAAGAGGCGAGUGGAAUUCCUGGUGUAGCGGUGAAAUGCGCAGAUAUCAGGAGGAACACCAAUUGCGAAGGCAGCUCGCUGGGACGUUACUGACGCUGAGACGCGAAAGCGUGGGAGCAAACAGG
rnacentral:rRNA from 1 species